rnacentral:ncRNA from 1 species
UUCCGCGUGACUGACGGGUUUGUGGAGUACCACAUUGGAGCGCGGAAAUCAAACGCCGACCGUCUGGGCAGCCUU